rnacentral:lncRNA from 1 species
AGGGAAACGGGAAUGAGGGCAUAACUGGCCCUGCAGAGCUCAGAAAGCUCCCUCAGAAACAAGGGCACAGCAUUUCACCGCCUCGGUCCUUCAGUCCAGCUCUCUGAACUCCUGGUAUAAAGUGAUGCGUAUUGAAAGUACCAAACCAAAAGAGCAUCACUAAAGCAGGGAAGUUUACUGCACAUGAAUGCUUCGAUCCAGAGAGGGCAAGAGAAAUGUGAGACAGGAUUUAAUCAUGUCAGUCCCGUGCUUCAGCAGCACAGCCCUCAGGGAUUUCUGAUGUGGAACUGCAAAGAACUUUGUCAGGAGAGGCUUCAUACUGUUAUGGUUUACGUGAUUCCAUUGUCUGUAGCAGCUACUCCAAACAUGGGAAAAAAUAAGCAGAAAGAAUUGGAUAUGGAUGCAAUUCUGAGAUUCUUUAAUAAUACCAAGGAAGUAUCUUUCAUGUGAUUCCUGACUGAAUAAGAAGCUUGAAGGAAACGGGUGCAACAACAAGCUUACCGUAAACUUAGACUGCAAACUCUUGGGAGGGGCCAUGAGGAAAUUAUUAUGAUCUCUAGAUUCUAUUGCAGUAGAAGUUUGUAAACCAGUGAUGCCUGUGUCUUAUAUAGUGUUUAUCAUGUGUGCAUAUUGUAACAUUUUCAUAAAUGAGUAACAGUUGGAGAAAUUCAUCCACGAGUGUUUCUGAUCCCACUUAUUACUUUUCUUAUCCUUUUCUCAUUUUUUUUUUAAUAUUUAAUGUUAUGUAAAUGAUUAUGUGUUGACAACCUUAAAAUAUAUGAGGGCUGCUCAGAAAGUGAUUCCUCCCCUCUGCUGCUGUAUGUUGUAUGGCAGCAAAAUAUAAUGGAAUGUUAGUGGGAAAUGCCAUAUCACCAACAUCCACCUGUGCUAUGAUUGGCCAACAUAAUAAAUAGGAAGCAUUACUUUUGGAGCA